rnacentral:lncRNA from 1 species
UUAAAGUCCAGUAAGUUGAAUAAGGACAUUGAAAACAUAAUCUAUGAACCUGAUGGUGUGCUAAAUUUCGUCCCCUCUACCUUUUUCUUGGGCAAAAGAUUCAGAAGAAACAGUCCACUUUCUACAGGAAUCGGACAGCUAUAGUGUUCCCAAAACAGGCUGAAAAGUCAGUGUCCGUUUACCAGCAGAAGUUUACAAGAAUUGCCUGAAAAAACUUUGAGCAAUUCAGUAGCAUAUACUAUUCUAAGGAGGCAAGGAACCCUGUAGGCGAGUCUUGUCCUCAUGAACAGUAGCAAAGGCGACGACGACCAAUGAUGGGUGACGCCCUCUCCCACGUGUUCUCUCCCCAUACACACUCGAUCACCUUGGCGUCUUCCUCCUCUUUCUCUCCAUUCCAACCUCCC